rnacentral:lncRNA from 1 species
AUGGAGAAUUGGAUUUGGACUCAGUUCACGUGUUGCUACGUAACUUCCAGCAAGAGCUCAGGGACACACAGAGAGAGCGGGAUGAGGCCCAAGCACAGGUGCACAGUCUCAGCAAGCAGGUAGAAAGCCUGCAAGCCAGUCAGGAAAGAGGCAACACACGUAUACAGAUGCUGAAACAAUCUAUCAGAGAGCUGGAGGAGGGAAAGCGUGAGCUGGCUAAGCAUUUAGAGGGGACACAAGCAUCACUCGCCUUACGGGAUGAGGUGGUUCAGCAUGGGGAAUUACAGAAUAGGAUUAUGAGUGAAGAGUUGGCCAAAAUGAAGAACAGCCAACAUAUAACUGAGGCAGAAGCCAAAGC